rnacentral:lncRNA from 1 species
CCUUGAGCUCGGGCCGGCUGGCCGCUGGGAGGAGGAUGGACCGAAGCGUUCUCCACACUAGCACCCAUGUGUACCGUUGGACUGAUCGAGGCAGCUGUAUCUCUUCGUCCUUCAGAAGUGCUCUCUGUCCUAGGCCUGUGCCUGCUUGGCGUUCCCUCCUCAUCUCUCCCAGUCCUCAAGUCACGCACAAGUUUGUGUCUUUGACCAUUCAUUCCAAUACAUGAAUUUCUUAGAUGUACCCCGCACCUCCCAGGUUAUUUCAGGUGUGACAUGGGGAUGUGAUGUCCAUAAGAAAUGUGCAAACCAGAUGUGGUCGUGGAGCUAAAAUAUCAGAGGAGGAGGAGAAUUUUUUUCUGGCUUAUGAGAAUACUUAGUAGACAAAGGGUCUUUGAGCUGAACCUUGAAGGAUUGGAGAACUUCAUAAAUAGAUUGCAAUGAAGCCUUCUCUAAGAUAGUGCACAUUUAUAUCUUCCCUUAUUAACUGUGAUCUUGGAAAUGCUUAUUUGAUGCCUCUGUGUCUCAGUUUUCUCAUCUGUAAAAUGGGGAUAAUAGUUUUAGCCAGGGUUGGCUUAUGGGUGUGAGACCUGUACAGUCACACGUGUGCCUAGAAAUGUUGGCCCCUCACUAUGGUUUAAUGCUCCCCUGUCACCAUGUUGAAAUUCUUAAUAAUUUUUUAACGAGGGACCCUGCAGAUUGUGUCCUGAUCUUGCUUUAUAGGAUUAUUGCAAAGUCCUAAGAAGUUUAAUACUUGUGAAUUUCUUAGAACAGUGAGGGCCUGGCAUAUGAUGAGGUUUCAGUAAGCGCUAGCUGUUACUGUUACUAUUAUCCUCUGAACUCUUGUAACAAUAUACCUCACAGUGUACCUUAUAAUUUUUUAGCAUAUAAAUAACCAACAGAGGGCUUCCCUGGUGGUCCAGUGGCUAAGAAUCUGCCUUGCAAUGCAGGGGACACUGGUUUGAUCCCUGGUUCAGGAGGAUCCCAUGUGCUGAGGGGCAGCUAAGCCUGUGUACCACAACUACCAAGCCUAGGCUCUGGAGUGCUCCAGCCACAACUGCUGAAGCCCAUGUGCAUAGAACCCGUGCUUCUCAACAGACAACAAGAGAAGCUGUCGCAUCGAGAAACUUGCACACUGCAACUGGAGAAUAGCCCCCCGCUCACCACAAUUUGAGAAAAGCCUGUGCAUGCCAGUGAAGACCUAGCACAGCCGUAAAUAAAAGUAAAUAUUUUUAAAAGUAAAUAAUCA